rnacentral:rRNA from 1 species
AUUGAACGCUGGCGGCAUGCCUUACACAUGCAAGUCGAACGGCAGCACGGGAGCAAUCCUGGUGGCGAGUGGCGAACGGGUGAGUAAUACAUCGGAACGUGCCCAAUCGUGGGGGAUAACGCAGCGAAAGCUGUGCUAAUACCGCAUAAGAUCUAAGGAUGAAAGCAGGGGACCGCAAGGCCUUGCGCGAAUGGAGCGGCCGAUGGCAGAUUAGGUAGUUGGUGAGGUAAAGGCUCACCAAGCCGUCGAUCUGUAGCUGGUCUGAGAGGACGACCAGCCACACUGGGACUGAGACACGGCCCAGACUCCUACGGGAGGCAGCAGUGGGGAAUUUUGGACAAUGGGCGCAAGCCUGAUCCAGCCAUGCCGCGUGCAGGAUGAAGGCCUUCGGGUUGUAAACUGCUUUUGUACGGAACGAAAAGGUCUUUUUUAAUAAAGAGGGCCCAUGACGGUACCGUAAGAAUAAGCACCGGCUAACUACGUGCCAGCAGCCGCCGUAACAC